UACGGAGGGUGCUAGCGUUGUUCGGAAUCACUGGGCGUAAAGGGCGCGUAGGCGGUCUGCUAAGUCUGAUGUGAAAGCCCGGGGCUCACCCCCGGAAGGGCAUUGGAAACUGGCGGACUCGAGUCCCGGAGAGGAGAGUGGAAUUCCUGGUGUAGCGGUGAAAUGCGUAGAUAUCAGGAGGAACACCGGUGGCGAAGGCGGCUCUCUGGACGGUGACUGACGCUGAGGCGCGAAAGCGUGGGUAGCAAACGGG
rnacentral:rRNA from 1 species